GACGAACGCUGGCGGCGUGCUUAACACAUGCAAGUCGAACGGAAAGGCCCUGCUUUUGUGGGGUGCUCGAGUGGCGAACGGGUGAGUAACACGUGAGUAACCUGCCCUUGACUUUGGGAUAACUUCAGGAAACUGGGGCUAAUACCGGAUAGGAGCUCCUGCUGCAUGGUGGGGGUUGGAAAGUUUCGGCGGUUGGGGCUGGACUCGCGGCUUAUCAGCUUGUUGGUGGGGUAGUGGCUUACCAAGGCUUUGACGGGUAGCCGGCCUGAGAGGGUGACCGGCCACAUUGGGACUGAGAGACGGCGCAGAGUCCUACGGGAGGCAGCAGUGGGGAAUAUUGCACAAUGGGCGGAAGCCUGAUGCAGCAACGCCGCGUGCGGGAUGACGGCCUUCGGGUUGUAAACCGCUUUCGCCUGUGACGAAGCGUGAGUGACGGUAAUGGGUAAAGAAGCACCGGCUAACUACGUG
rnacentral:rRNA from 1 species